rnacentral:rRNA from 1 species
UACAGAGGGUGCAAGCGUUGUUCGGAAUUAUUGGACGUAAAGCGCGUGUAGGCGGCUUUGCAAGUCGGGUGUGAAAGCCCUCAGCUCAACUGAGGAAGUGCGCCCGAAACUGCAGAGCUUGAGUGCCGGAGAGGGUGGCGGAAUUCCCCAAGUAGAGGUGAAAUUCGUAGAUAUGGGGAGGAACACCGGUGGCGAAGGCGGCCACCUGGACGGUAACUGACGCUGAGACGCGAAAGCGUGGGGAGCAAACAGG